GCCGGGACCACCCGGUAAGGCUAAAUACUCCCAAGAGACCGAUAGUGAACCAGUACCGUGAGGGAAAGGUGAAAAGUACCCCGAACAGGGGAGUGAAAUAGAACCUGAAACCAUACGCUUACAACCGGUCGGAGCGGCUUCGUGCCGUGACGGCGUGCCUAUUGAAUAAUGAGCCUACGAGUUACUAAUCACUGGCGAGGUUAAGUGCUAGGAAGCACGGAGCCGAAGCGAAAGCGAGUCUGAACAGGGCGGCUAGUCAGUGGUUGUAGACGCGAAACCUUGCGAUCUACCCUUGAGCAGGAUGAAGGUUGGGUAACACCAACUGGAGGUCCGAACGAAUAAGCGUUGAAAAGCUUCUCGAUGACUUGAGGGUAGGGGUGAAAGGCUAAUCAAGCUGGGAAAUAGCUCGUACUCCCCGAAAUGCCUUUAGGGGCAGCGUUGUAAUAAAGAGUCUACUGGAGGUAGAGCUACUGAUUGGAUGCGGGGGCUUCACCGCCUACCAAAUCCUGACAAACUCCGAAUGCCAGUAGUAUGAUUUACAGCAGUGAGCGGCCGGGUGCUAAUGUCCGGUCACAAAAGAGGAACAACUCAGACCAGCAACUAAGGUCCCCAAGAAUAUGCUAAGUUGAUCUAACGAUGUUUUGUUGCAGAGACAGCUAGGAUGUUAGCUUGGAAGCAGCUAUUCAUUCAAAGAGUGCGUAACAGCUCACUAGUCGAGCGACAGAGCGUGGAUAAUAAACGGGCAUCAAGCAUAUCACCGAAGUUCUGGACGCGAAAGCGUGGUAGGGGAGCAUUCCAUCGACGUUGAAGCCGAUUCGUGAGGAUUGGUGGAGUUUAUGGAAAAGCAAAUGUAGGCAUAAGUAACGAUAAUGCGGGAGAGUAACCCGCACACCGCAAGACCAAGGUUUCCUGAUCAACGCUAAUCGGAUCAGGGUUAGUCGGGUCCUAAGGGUAAGCCGAACGGUGAUCUCGAUGGACAAUCGGUUAAUAUUCCGAUACUAACAUACACCUCGAUGGAGAGACGAAGGAACGUAAGUGUCGCCGCCUGACGGAAUAGGUGGUUAAAGGGCGUAGGUAAAGGAGCAGAUUAAGAGUUAGCUCCUGCUGAAACCCGACAGUACGGAGCGGCUACGGCCAAUCCGAUAGUGCACCCAAGUAGACUUCCGAGAAAAUCUUCUAAGUUAUAGUGUAUGUUACCCGUACCGUAAACCGACACAGGUGGUCGAGGAGAGUAUCCUAAGGUGCUCGAGUGAAUCACGGUUAAGGAACUAGGCAAAUUAACCCCGUAACUUCGGGAAAAGGGGUCCCUAUGAAAGUAGGGCGCAGCGAAAAGGUCCAGGCGACUGUUUAUCAAAAACACAGGGCUCUGCAAAUUCGAAAGAAGACGUAUAGGGCCUGACACCUGCCCGGUGCUGGAAGGUUAAGAGGGGAUGUCAUCGCAAGAGAAGCAUUGAAUCGAAGCCCCAGUAAACGGCGGCCGUAACUAUAACGGUCCUAAGGUAGCGAAAUUCCUUGUCGGGUAAGUUCCGACCUGCACGAAUGGUGUAACGAUCUGGACACUGUCUCAACCGUGAGCUCGGUGAAAUUGUAGUCCCGGUGAAGAUGCCGGGUACCCGCGACGGGACGAAAAGACCCCGUGAACCUUUACUAUAGCUUAACGCUGAAUUUGGGUACACAAUGUGUAGGAUAGGCCGGAGGCAUUGAGACGGGCACGCCAGUGUUCGUGGAGCCGACGUUGAAAUACGGCCCUUUGUGUACUUGGAUUCUAACCCCUCGAGGGGGACACCGUUUGGUGGGUAGUUUGACUGGGGUGGUCGCCUCCAAAAGCGUAACGGAGGCUUCCCAAGGUGCCCUCAGCACGAAUGGUAACCGUGCGCAGAGUGCAAUAGCAUAAGGGCGCUUGACUGUGAGACCGACAAGUCGAGCAGGUACGAAAGUAGGGUAUAGUGAUCCGGUGGUUCUGUGUGGACUGGCCAUCGCUCAAAGGAUAAAAGGUACUCCGGGGAUAACAGGCUGAUCGCCGCCAAGAGCUCAUAUCGACGCGGCGGUUUGGCACCUCGAUGUCGGCUCGUCACAUCCUGGGGCUGGAGAAGGUCCCAA
rnacentral:rRNA from 1 species